UACGAAGGGGGCUAGCGUUGUUCGGAAUCACUGGGCGUAAAGGGCGCGUAGGCGGCUUUGUAAGUCGGGGGUGAAAGCCUGUGGCUCAACCACAGAAUUGCCUUCGAUACUGCAUGGCUUGAGACCGGAAGAGGUAAGUGGAACUGCGAGUGUAGAGGUGAAAUUCGUAGAUAUGGGGAGGAACACCGGUGGCGAAGGCGGCCAACUGGACGAAUACUGACGCUGAGGUGCGAAAGCGUGGGGAGCAAACAGG
rnacentral:rRNA from 1 species